GACAACCUCCUCAUCCAACCGGGACGAUUCGUCACGCCGCACGCGCAUUUUUUAAUUGUCAGAGGAUAUUUUCAUUACCGCGGAAGCUGAGCCGAUUCCCAGUGAGAUUGGAAGCUGGACUGUGUGGAUGUGUCUGCUGUGAGUCGGGGUCUCCAGCUCCUGGCAGCACUCCUCUUUUGGACACUGGCAACAGCUUGCUCCCCACAUCCCUCCCAGAUGAUGUGUCUUGAGACAGAUGUUCUAGAAGGAAUCUAGGAAAGUAAUAUGCUGUUAAGGCAGGAGAUGUCUUAUACUGGCUGAUGAAAGAGAGGAACGUGCCAACACGACAGUCCUCCUGGCAUCCAAACAGUCGAUAAGGAACGCUAACAGAAGGACAGCUUGUAUUUUAUUGGUGGAUUUGUGUCAACUGUAAAAAUGCCACAAUAUUUUCUAAAUGGAAGACAAGUAAUCUCAUUAAUUGAUACAUUUACCUACUCUCUUAAAACUAAAUAUUAGAAUGAUUUCUUAAGGAUCAUGUGAGAAGACUAGUAAUGGCUGCUAAAAAACUCAGCUUUCAUUAAAUGAUGAAUAUAUCCAAUUAAAAUAAUUAUAAUUAUGUACCUUUUAUUGUGUAAAUGAAGCAGGUGGGCAAGACUUUUAAAAAGACUUUUUCUGAUUACCCGAUUUUUCAGUUUGAGCACAAUUAAUAAAAAUGUUUCUA